rnacentral:rRNA from 1 species
GACGGAGGAUGCAAGCGUUAUCCGGAAUGAUUGGGCGUAAAGCGUCCGCAGGUGGCAGUUCAAGUCUGCUGUCAAAGACCGGGGCUUAACUUCGGAAAGGCAGUGGAAACUGAACAGCUAGAGUAUGGUAGGGGCAGAGGGAAUUCCUGGUGUAGCGGUGAAAUGCGUAGAUAUCAGGAAGAACAUCGGUGGCGAAGGCGCUCUGCUGGACCAUAACUGACGCUGAGGAGCGAAAGCAUGGGGAGCGAACAGG